rnacentral:snRNA from 1 species
GUGCUCACAGCAGCAAAUAUACUAAAAUUGGAACAAUACAGAGAAGAUUACCAUAGCCCCUGCGCAAGGAUGACAUGCAACUUUGCGAAGUUUUUUAAGACAUU